CACUUUUCGAGAGAGGACAGAACUUACAAAAGAAGGACUGUCCUCCCUAAAGGAGGACGGUUGGUCACCUUACAAUACAUUAAGAAGACACCAGGCUAAGGAAGCCCAAAUUAAAAUGUGUUGGCAUCCCAGUUGUGAUUAGUUUUCGUUUGGUUCUUUGGAAAUGGCUUUUCUCAAAGAAUGGGUGUUUACCUUGCAGCUGAGAAUAAUCUGCUGUGAGGAUAUUGCUUCCCUUUUCUGACCAAAUUAUAACCAGGCCAUCAUUAUUUUGAUCUAAUACCUAUGACUACAACAUUUGCAGUGUCAAAUCCAAAAAAUAAGAGGAGUUGUCUGCUUUGGGUAAUUUGCUAAAGAUGCAUAAUAGGGAAGGGAGGAAAGUGCCAUUAGUAGAGAAGAACUAAUCUGUCAAGUUCAAUUUCACUCAGUUCUUAUUUUUCCAAACUUUAGUUUGUUCUUUCCUGUUUCUGCAGCAGUCUCUCACAAAAAAUGUCCAUAUAAAAUGUAGCAUACAUUUUAUGCAUGCUUUUUCUAAUGUGUACAUGCAUUUUUUCUAUUAUAUGUAUUUGGUAUAGAUUUUAUAUGACUUUUUAGAAAAAUGGAAAAUAGCAUGACCAAAUUUGGAAAAGGAUAAAUAUAAAUGGAAAAUUGCAUUACAAUUCAUGCUUCGGUUUAGGAAGUGUGGAUUUGUUCACAUUAAAUCACAAUCCAAAGGAAAAUCUCCAUCCCUGGGCUCAGUUUCAGCAUAAUUCAAAGCUGUGGUUCUUGGUGUUAUAGCAACAAGCCUAAGGAUUGUAUGCAACCUUCUUUCUUUAGGACCUGAGGGGAAGAUGUAGGUAGGCUGGGAAGUAUUCUUGCCUUUCAUGUUAACCUGAGCUAAGAUAAUGUUUCCUAAAAUCAUGAUAAUCUGCAAUAUUGUUUUCGUCUUUAGGCUAAUAUUUAAAAAGAUGCAUUUAGACUGUCCACUUUUCCAGAAAUUCUUUUCCUAUUCUAUCUGUGGAACUGUCUUUCCCCAAUGCAAUUUGCUUGACCCAUUUGUGCUGGCAGAAGGGGUCUACUCUGGAUCCCAUCAACAAAGGGAUUUUACCUGGUGGGAUCCAGGACAAGAGCUUUUUCCCCCCAUAGGUCCUGCCCUUUGGAACAUCUUGCAACAGGAGCUGAGAUCCACUCCCUCUCUAUUAACCUUUAGGAAAGGCCUUAAAACCUGGCUAUGUGGUACUUAUGAAGGAGAAGCUAUUGGCUGGAAGUGGUUGGUGCACUAAUAGAGAAGGUACCCACCUCUCCCCUCCAAACCCUUGCUUUUGGUUUGUUUUAAUUUGUGUAAUUUUUAAUCAGUUUUCAUAUGUAUUGAAUGUUUGCUUUAUCUUGAUGUUCUACCACCCAACACGCUUGCAUGUCUCUGCCUGGUUUAUAGAACACACAUUAAAAUGAUACAAAAGCUUUCGUUAAUUUCAAGCUAAAAAUCAAAUUAAAACAAAAAGGAACAAUUGCAGAGUUAAAAGGCAGAGGGAGCACUUCCAACUAUCAAGCACACCAAGGCUACAUGUCACGAUUAGAACCCCAGGCCAUUUGGUAGAGCCAGGUCUUAUUGCACUUCUGGAAGGCCAGGAGCGGAGGGAAGUUGUUUCAUAGGGCAGGAGCAAUGUCAGAGAAGGCUCUCUUCCUAGAAGACCUCACCAAUCAAAAAUCUUUAACCCACAAGGGUCAGAAAUACGUCCUCCUUUACUGCCCGAUGGGUCAAUGAAAUUGGGAUGACAGUUCCUCAAAUAGCCUGGAUGUUGACUUUGUUUGGAAAUGAACAGAGAAAAGGAGAAGUGCAUCAUUUGCCAAAAUUAUACCAUCAAAGACAGGAACAGGGGCUAGAUAGUGUGGUCCCAGUUUCCUCGCUAUGCCCAAUCACUGUAAUGCCUAAAGCAUAAUCAUAUUUCCUUAAUAUAUAUGUAGGAUUCAUGUAUAUUAUGAACCCUUUUGAUUACUGAUAAUUUUCAUUUUCAGCAUUAUAUUGAUCAAGUAGUGAGGUGAUUUUCUUUUUUAAACAGUAUUAGCUGCUAAUACUAAUGUUGUGUGAAGAAUCUCUUGGUACUUAACUAUUUUUGUGUGAACUUUACCUCCUUUGGCUCUCUAGACAUUUCAGAUUCCCUUUUACUGUUGCUGUACCUCCUACUCUCUCUGUGGGUGUAAAAGAGAAAGAAAGAAAGCAGACACAAAAUGUUUCUUUAAAAAAAAAAAAGCUGUGGGCUUCAUUCUUUGUUGAGAGUGUCAUCUUUUGCCAUUCUUUUUUCAACAAAGGUAAACCAGGCCAUCAUAUCCCAGGAAAUCAUUUAUUUGUUUUAGGCUGGCUAGCUUAUUUGAUAGAUAGAUUUUUAUGGAGUUCAAUUGUGGGAUUAUCUCUUCCCAGGAAGGAGGAAACAAAAACAUAGCCACUGUAAUAAAGCAGUAUUGGAGGUCCAAAACCAACUUCAUGAGCUACUGAAUCUAAGAGAGUAGUACAGCGUAGAAUGAGUAUCAAGGGUUUGAACUGUGCUCCUUUUCUAUCUGUCCCUUCACUUGCUCUUUGCCUAAGAGAUUACUCAUUGGAAGUCAUUUCUCUCUGUCUUUGUUCCCAAGCACACCAGCAAAGAACAUCUGAGUUUGGUCUCUCCUUCUAACAAUUUUGCCUAUCCCUGUGUAUUCCCUCUGGGUAGAUUUCCACUUUCAAGAUUUGUGUGUGUGUGUGUGUUUAUUUGAGUCAGUGUUGACUCCAGGCUGCUACCCUGGCAGACUACUUCAGUUUUCUUGGCAAGGUUUUUUAAGAAAUUAUUUGCCACUAUUUCCUUCCUAGGGGUAAGGUCAACCAGCUGGAUGUGCGCCCAUGAGAACUCAGCUCUGUCACAAUUCAAUUUUCCCUCAUACCUCAAAUAUCUAAAAUUUGAUUGUAGAAAAAAUAGUUCCAGUAGUUUAAGCAGGUGAGUCAAACUACAUGCUAUAAAUGACUGAACAUUCCAAGUGAUAAAAUUGACCAGAUGUUAAAAGAAGUCCAGAUCCAUGGACUUUUUUUUAGCAGGUUCUACUUUACUGUACUUAGAGAUUCUAGUCUUGUAAUCAAAUGAACUGAAAGAUUUCAUGAGUACCAGUUUGCUGUAAUGGUUCAAAGCACCACAGUAGAAACAAAGAGGCAAGGACAUUUAGUCCCACCUUAGGCAUGAAGCCAGCUGAGUGACUUUGGGCCAAUCACUCACUCAGUUCUAGGAAGAAGGCCAUAGCAAACCACUUUGGAAAAUUCUGCCAAGAAAAUUGCAGGGACUUGUCCAGGCAAUCUCUAAAAGUCAAGAAUGACUUGAAGGAGCACUCAUGCAUGCUUACACACAGAGAUACAAAUACACAUUUAAUGCCAUUUGUUUUCAGCAAUUUCUAUAAAGGAUAAAAGUUGCUUUUUAAAGUUGCUCUUUUAAAAAAUGGUUACAAAAGUCCAAGGUUUUUUUUUUUUUUUACCUAUCAGGGGGUCCUAUCUUAUAUACCCCUCUUUUCUAAAAAAAAAAAAAAAAAGUAUAUUUCAGUUUAGUUCAGGCUUUCAGGUCUUUUCUUUUUGCCAAAGCCCAAAUUGGAAUGUUUGGGGAAAGAUAAUUUAAUUUCAGUGGUUGGGUCAAUAUCAGUAGUGGAAAUUUCAACACUUCCUGGGAAGGAGGCUAUCAACAAUGAUGGCACAGGCAAAGCAAAAUAACCAGUAAAUAUUUUAUCCUUUCCAAAUCCUUUUUCUUUCCCAUAGAAAUUUGUGGUAUUUUCCUCAUUUGGCCAGGGUCAAAUGAGUGUUUACCCAAGUAUCCUUUUGUUCAAAAUUCUUCCUUGAAUUUAAAGACAGCCCAACAACUGGGCCCUGUGAUGUUGUUUUUCCCUUAAGCAUUUGCAAGUCAGCAGCUGGCACAUCUCAAGUGGAGCUUAGGAGUGAAAUAGAUCAUUGUUUGAAAUAGAUCUGCUUCA